rnacentral:tRNA from 1 species
AGCCCUGUAGUGUAAUUACAUAUUGAAUUGCAAAUUCAAAGAAGCAGCUUCAAUUCUGCCGGGGCUUC